GAUGAACGCUGGCGGCGUGCCUAAUACAUGCAAGUCGAGCGAACAGACGAGGAGCUUGCUCCUCUGACGUUAGCGGCGGACGGGUGAGUAACACGUGGAUAACCUACCUAUAAGACUGGGAUAACUUCGGGAAACCGGAGCUAAUACCGGAUAAUAUAUUGAACCGCAUGGUUCAAUAGUGAAAGACGGUUUUGCUGUCACUUAUAGAUGGAUCCGCGCCGCUUUAGCUAGUUGGUAAGGUAACGGCUUACCAAGGCAACGAUGCGUAGCCGACCUGAGAGGGGGAUCGGCCACACUGGAACUGAGACACGGUCCAGACUCCUACGGGAGGCAGCAGUAGGGAAUCUUCCGCAAUGGGCGAAAGCUUGACGGAGCAACGCCGCGUGAGUGAUGAAGGUCUUCGGAUCGUAAAACUCUGUUAUUAGGGAAGAACAAAUGUGUAAGUAACUAUGCACGUCUUGACGGUACCUAAUCAGAAAGCCACGGCUAACUACGUG
rnacentral:rRNA from 1 species